GACGAACGCUGGCGGCGUGCUUAACACAUGCCAGUCGAACGGCAAGGCCCUGCUUUUGUGGGGUGCUCGAGUGGCGAAGGGGUGAGUAACACGAGAGUAACCUGCUCUUGACUUUGGGAUAACUUCAGGUAACUGGGGCUAAUCCAGGAUAGGAGCCCCUGUUGCAUGGUGGGGGUUGGAAAGUUUCGGCGGUUGGGGAUGGACUCGCGGCUUACCAGCUUGUUGGUGGGGGAGUGGAUUACCCAGGCAUUGACGGGUAGCCGGCCUGAGAGGGUGGCCGGCCACAUGGGGACUGAGAUACGGCCCAGUCGCCUACGGGAGGCAGCGGUGGGGAAUAUUGCACAAUGGGCGGGAGCCUGAUGCAGCAACGCCGCGUGCGGGAUGACGGCCUUCGGGUUGUAAACCGCUUUCGCCUGUGACGAAGCGUGAGUGACGGUAAUGGGUAAAGAAGCACCGGCUAACUACGUG
rnacentral:rRNA from 1 species